AACGAACGCUGGCGGCAUGCCUAACACAUGCAAGUCGAACGAGAUCCUUCGGGGUCUAGUGGCGGACGGGUGAGUAACGCGUGGGGACCUGCCCAGGGGUACGGAAUAACUACGGGAAACUGUAGCUAAUACCGUAUGAUGCCGAAAGGCCAAAGAUUUAUCGCCCUUGGAUGGACCCGCGUUGGAUUAGCUAGUUGGUGAGGUAAUGGCUCACCAAGGCGACGAUCCAUAGCUGGUUUGAGAAGAUGAUCAGCCACACUGGGACUGAGACACGGCCCAGACUCCUACGGGAGGCAGCAGUGGGGAAUAUUGGACAAUGGGGGGCAACCCUGAUCCAGCAAUGCCGCGUGAGUGAAGAAGGCCUUAGGGUUGUAAAGCUCUUUCAGAUGGGAAGAUAAUGACGGUACCAUCAGAAGAAGCCCCGGCUAACUCCGUGCCAGCAGCCGCGGUAAU
rnacentral:rRNA from 1 species